rnacentral:rRNA from 1 species
AUUGAACGCUGGCGGCAGGCCUAACACAUGCAAGUCGAGCGGAUGAAGGGAGCUUGCUCCUGGAUUCAGCGGCGGACGGGUGAGUAAUGCCUAGGAAUCUGCCUGGUAGUGGGGGAUAACGUCCGGAAACGGGCGCUAAUACCGCAUACGUCCUGAGGGAGAAAGUGGGGGAUCUUCGGACCUCACGCUAUCAGAUGAGCCUAGGUCGGAUUAGCUAGUUGGUGGGGUAAAGGCCUACCAAGGCGACGAUCCGUAACUGGUCUGAGAGGAUGAUCAGUCACACUGGAACUGAGACACGGUCCAGACUACUACGGGAGGCAGCAGUGGGGAAUAUUGGACAAUGGGCGAAAGCCUGAUCCAGCCAUGCCGCGUGUGUGAAGAAGGUCUUCGGAUUGUAAAGCACUUUAAGUUGGGAGGAAGGGCAGUAAGUUAAUACCUUACUGUUUUGACGUUACCAACAGAAUAAGCACCGGCUAACUUCGUG